rnacentral:rRNA from 1 species
GACGAACGCUGGCGGCGUGCUUAACACAUGCAAGUCGAACGGUAAGGCCCUUCGGGGUACACGGGUGGCGAACGGGUGAGUAACACGUGGGGGAUCUGCCCUGCACUUCGGGAUAAGCCUGGGAACCUGGUUCUAAUACCGGAUAGGACCACUGCCUGCAUGGGGGGUGGUGGAAAGCUUUUGCGGUGUGGGAUGGGCCCGCGGCCUAUCAGCUUGUUGGUGGGGUGAUGGCCUACCAAGGCGACGACGGGUAGCCGGCCUGCGAGGGUGACCGGCCACACUGGGACUGAGAUACGGCCCAGACUCCUACGGGAGGCAGCAGUGGGGAAUAUUGCACAAUGGGCGCAAGCCUGAUGCAGCGACGCCGCGUGAGGGAUGACGGCCUUCGGGUUGUAAACCUCUUUCAGCACCGACGUAGCGCAAGUGACGGUAGGUGCAGAAGAAGGACCGGCCAACUACGUGCCAGCCGCCGCGGUAA